rnacentral:tRNA from 1 species
GCUAAGAUGGCAGAUAAAUGUAUGGGAUUUAGGUUCCUUUUAUGAAGAUAUUCUUCUUUUAGUA